rnacentral:rRNA from 1 species
UACGUAGGGUGCAAGCGUUAAUCGGAAUUACUGGGCGUAAAGCGUGCGCAGGCGGUUUUGUAAGUUUGUCGUGAAAUCCCCGGGCUCAACCUGGGAAUGGCGAUGAAGACUGCAAGGCUAGAAUCUGGCAGAGGGGGGUAGAAUUCCACGUGUAGCAGUGAAAUGCGUAGAGAUGUGGAGGAACACCGAUGGCGAAGGCAGCCCCUCGGGUCGAAGAUUGACGCUCAUGCACGAAAGCGUGGGGAGCAAACAGGAUUAGAAACCCUAGUAGU